AGAGUACAGCUUUCCUUCUGCCAAAUGCCUCCCCACGGGCCGACUCUGUAGGGCGCACACCAGGGCCUGGGAACCGAGCCCAGAAUCCUGAUGUUGUCCGGCAACGCGAGGUCACCAGAAGGGAAGUUGAAAUCAGAAGUGGUUGAAAUCAGAAUGGCUGCAGUAUAAUUUCCUAGUUUUGUGGACUAUCAUAUACUUCUGCUACUUGCUUGCUUCUCAGUCUCUGUUACUGUUUCCCCCUCCCUCUUCUCUGUGUCUCUCUCCCUUGCUCUCUCUUUCUUUGAUUCUCUCCCCAGGAUCUUACCAUGUAGCCUAGGCUGUCCUGGAGGAACUAGCCAUAUAGACCAGGCUGGCCUUGAACUCAGAGACCCACCUGCAUCUGCCUCCAGAGUGCUAAGAUAAAAGGUGUAUGCAAUCUUGCCCCUUUCUGUCUUCCUUCCUUCCUUCCUUCCUUCCUUCCUUCCUUCCUUCCUUCCUUCCUUCCUUCCUUUCUCACAAAGGUGGAAGGAGUCCAGAUGACACACAGCUAUGUAAGCUAUUGUAAUACACAUCAGUAAAUUGUCGUCUUGUACUGUUUAAGGUCACCGGGAACCUGGCGUCCCAGCCCGACUUUAGACCCAAGCAUUUUGUCUUAAAGCGUUCUCCAAGACCGCUUCCUCAGUCACCAGCCGGCUUCCUGGUCCUGUGAGAAAGUGAAAGAGAACAGCCAAAUAAAGUGGAAACGCUACUUCCUUAAGAACAGGAGAUUUGCUGUUUAUGCACUUGAAAUGAAAAGCAUUCCUACUGUGGAUCAUUCUCCAGUUUCAGACAGCUUUCUACCGACGAACCACACUCCAGCCCCUCACUAGGGGAUUCUAGCUUAGAGAGCACAGUCCAUCGUUAAGGGAAGCCAUGGGAGGAGCUCAAGUCAGGAGCUUGAAGCAGAAACCUUGGAGGAACUCUACUUACUUACUUCCUGGCUCACAUUUAACUGCUUUCAUAAUACUAGGAGGACCACCUUCCCAGGAGUGGUGCCAUGGGAGGUCCACCUUCCCAGGAGUGGUGCCAUGGGAGGUCCACCUUCCCAGGAGUGGUGCCAUCUACAGUGUGCUGGGUCCUCCCAUAUCAGUCAGCAAUCAAUAAGAUCUCACAUAGGCCAAUGGGAUUGAGGCAAUUUCUCAAUUGAGGCAAUUUCCUUCUUUUUACGUUGUCUUAGGGUUUCUGUCACCUUUCCCCAGUGA